GCUGUAAUCAGCUGAAUUACAUGCAGCUGAGAGCUAUUAAGAGGAGCGCCGGGUGAUUGGGCAAGAAGAACACUCAGGAGAGUAUAUUAGAUCAGUUUGAAACAUAGUUUGAGGUCGAUUGUUCCUGUUGUUGAUGUGUGAUCGUAGCGCUGAGUUGGGCUCACCGGGUACGCUACUUUGGACUACUGUAUUGCUCUCUCUCUCGUCUAGGAUUAUAGCCUUAUGUGGAGGAAAAUACCGAAAACCUUAAAGGUAGAUAAAGCGAACGAAUACUGACCUUGGAUGAAAGCAACGAGGGAAGGAAGGACGCACCGUUGUGAGUAUACGGUUAUGGAAGAAUAGUGUUGGCGGCUGGAAAACGCCCUGUCUGUGCAGCUGGAACGAUUACAGCGUGAAGUCGAUCUAGGACAAAGAAAGUACAACAGUUGUGAGUAACGGAAUCUUCUUAUAGAAGAAUUGUGCAUGUAUUGACCUGUGUAUCUUUUUGAGUGUCUCCAACGAGAGCGGGCGGCCCUACCCCUGAGCCAGCGUGGUGGGUGAGCCGAAGGGUCUUUUUGCGAAACGGCUCCAGCGGUGAAAAACAAACACUAGGCCAAGUUAACAUCUCCAUAUCUCCGUCCCGAGCGAAGGAAAGGAAGACGGGCGUCUAUUGUGUGCACUGAGUGGUGGGUGAGUCUUGGAUGUAGAAAUUUUCACUUUGAAGUGGUGCUGUGUAAUGCUGUGUAUUGCAGUGGGAUUGCUGUUGUCUUGUCUGACGUACCCCCGCCUCCAGUCACUCGCUCUUGAGACGACGAAGAGGAAGAAAUGGUCCUAGAGUAAGACCUGUACACGAUUAUGCUAGCCUGAGGCGAAGGAGAUCCGCCGGCCCGAGGUCUCGACCAAAGGGCGCCCCGGUCCAGUUGUCGAUCGACCAACGGGUCUCGAGGAAAGGGCAGCGCUCGACCCGGUGAGCCGGCGUGACGGUUCUCGCCCCUCUAUAGACCAACGAGCUCGCCGAGAGGGUUUUGGCCCCCGGCGCCACCUAGGAAAACCGCCGUCCAGUGGACGCACCGCACAGCCAGCCACUGCAAGUCCGCCCCCCCUGUUAAGUGAAAUAUAACCUGUUAAACUGCUUAAUCGACAGGCAAGAGGAGUGUGUCGUGAAGAACUGUGGAGAGAGAGAGACAGCGUGAAUGUCAAGAUAACAAACUGUGGAGAGAGCCAUACCUACCCAAAGCUGUAGUCAGCAACGAGGUGAGAGAAAUCAUUGGAACCCGAUUCACUGUGCCCUUGUGUCCUAGCAGUCAUCUGUGGAGAGAGAGAGACAGCGUGAAUGUCGAGAUAACAAACUGUGGAGAGAGCCAUACCUACCCAAAGCUGUAGUCAGCAACGAGGUGAGAGAAAUCAUUGGAAUCCGAUUCACUGUGCCCUUGUGCCCUAGCAGUCAUCUGUGGAGAGAGAGAGACAGCGUGAAUGUCGAGAUAACAAACUGUGAAGAGAGCCAUACCUACCCAAAGCUGUAGUCAGCAACGAGGUGAGAGAAAUCAUUGGAAUCCGAUUCACUGUGCCCUUGUGUCCUAGCAGUCAUCUGUGGAGAGAGAGAGACAGCGUGAAUGUCGAGAUAACAAACUGUGGAGAGAGCCAUACCUACCCAAAGCUGUAGUCAGCAACGAGGUGAGAGAAAUCAUUGGAAUCCGAUUCACUGUGCCCUUGUGUCCUAGCAGUCAUCUGUGGAGAGAGAGAGACAGCGUGAAUGUCGAGAUAACAAACUGUGAAGAGAGCCAUACCUACCCAAAGCUGUAGUCAGCAACGAGGUGAGAGAAAUCAUUGGAACCCGAUUCACUGUGCCCUUGUGUCCUAGCAGUCAUCUGUGGAGAGAGAGAGACAGCGUGAAUGUCGAGAUAACAAACUGUGAAGAGAGCCAUACCGACCCAAACCUGUAGUCAGCGACGAGGUGAGAGAAACCAUUGGACGCCGAGUCACUGUGUCCUAGUGUCCCAGCAAUCAUCUGUGGAGAAGGAGAGAACAGGGAAGGAGAGUGAGUCGAUCAGCGAGGAGCUGUGCGCGAUAGGCGGCGGAACGCCUUGAGUGAGCCACAGGUACACGGAAUAGGAACAAGCUCAUACGAACACUGAUUUUGAUCUAUUCUGCCUCCAGGAAAGAAGAGGAGCGCGCCACGGGCAGAGGGAACCAGAGGCGGGAGCCGUUCCCCGACGAAACCCCCACCCCCUGUCACCCACUUGCUCGUGGCUCCCCUGGAGGGCAGAGCCGGACUUUAGUUUUAAUCUCCCCUUUCCCCAAAUCCCCAGUACUUUUUAGAUAUUUAAAUAAAUAAAGAAUAUUUUUAUACUUA